rnacentral:rRNA from 1 species
UUAAAAAGCUCGUAGUUGAAUUUCUGGAUGCGAAAGAUGGUCGGCACCUCACGGUGUCUGUACCUAUCAUUCGCGUUCAUCCUCGGGAGGAACGUGUGGUCUCUUUAGUGAGCCCGCUCGGGAAUCUCGUCAUUUACUGUGAGCAAAAUAGAGUGUUCAAAGCAGGCUUAUGCCGUUGAAUAUAUUAGCAUGGAAUAAUAAGAUACGACUUUGGUCUAUUUUGUUGGUUUGCAUUCCAAAGUAAUGAUUAAUAGAGAUAGUUGGGGGUAUUCGUAUUCAAUUGUCAGAGGUGAAAUUCUUGGAUUUAUGGAAGACGAACUACUGCGAAAGCAUUUACCAAGGAUGUUUUCAUUAAUCAAGAACGAAAGUUAGGGGAUCGAAGAUGAUUAGAUACCAUCGUAGUCUUAACCAUAAACUAUGCCGACUAGGGAUUGGUCUUGUUUGUUAUGACUGGAU